rnacentral:rRNA from 1 species
GAUGAACGCUGGCGGCGUGCCUAAUACAUGCAAGUCGAGCGAACGGACGAGAAGCUUGCUUCUCUGAUGUUAGCGGCGGACGGGUGAGUAACACGUGGAUAACCUACCUAUAAGACUGGGAUAACUUCGGGAAACCGGAGCUAAUACCGGAUAAUAUUUUGAACCGCAUGGUUCAAAAGUGAAAGACGGUCUUGCUGUCACUUAUAGAUGGAUCCGCGCUGCAUUAGCUAGUUGGUAAGGUAACGGCUUACCAAGGCAACGAUGCAUAGCCGACCUGAGGGGGUGAUCGGCCACACUGGAACUGAGACACGGUCCAGACUCCUACGGGAGGCAGCAGUAGGGAAUCUUCCGCAAUGGGCGAAAGCCUGACGGAGCAACGCCGCGUGAGUGAUGAAGGUCUUCGGAUCGUAAAACUCUGUUAUUAGGGAAGAACAUAUGUGUAAGUAACUGUGCACAUCUGGACGGUACCUAAUCAGAAAGCCACGGCUAACUACGU